AGGACGAACGCUGGCGGCAUGCCUAACACAUGCAAGUCGAACGGGAUGGAGCCUUCGGGCUCCGGCGAGUGGCGAACGGGUGAGUAACACGUGGGUAACCUACCUUUCACUGGGGGACAACCGAGGGAAACUUCGGCUAAUACCGCAUGAUGUGCGGCUUCUCAAGGAGCCGUACCAAAACUCCGGUGGUGAAAGAUGGGCCCGCGGCGGAUUAGCUAGUUGGUGGGGUAAUGGCCUACCAAGGCAACGAUCCGUAGCUGGUCUGAGAGGACGAUCAGCCACACUGGGACUGACGACGACCGGCCCAGACU
rnacentral:rRNA from 1 species